rnacentral:rRNA from 1 species
AAAUUGAAGAGUUUGAUCAUGGCUCAGAUUGAACGCUGGCGGCAGGCCUAACACAUGCAAGGCGGACGGUAGCACAGAGGAGCUUGCUCCUCGGGUGACGAGUGGCGGACGGGGGAGUGAUGUCUGGGGAUCUGCCCGAUAGAGGGGGAUAACCACUGGAAACGGUGGCUAAUACCGCAUAACGUCGCAAGACCAAAGAGGGGGACCUUCGGGCCUCUCACUAUCGGAUGAACCCAGAUGGGAUUAGCUAGUAGGCGGGGUAAUGGCCCACCUAGGCGACGAUCCCUAGCUGGUCUGAGAGGAUGACCAGCCAUACUGGAACUGAGACACGGUCCAGACUCCUACGGGAGGCAGCAGUGGGGAAUAUUGCACAAUGGGCGCAAGCCUGAUGCAGCCAUGCCGCGUGUAUGAAGAAGGCCUUCGGGUUGUAAAGUACUUUCAGCGGGGAGGAAGGCGAUGUGGUUAAUAACCGCGUCGAUUGACGUUACCCGCAGAAGAAGCACCGGCUAACUCCGUGCCAGCAGCCGCGGUAAUACGGAGGGUGUAAGCGUUAAUCGGAAUUACUGGGCGUAAAGCGCACGCAGGCGGUCUGUUAAGUCAGAUGUGAAAUCCCCGCGCUUAACCUGGGAACUGCAUUUGAAACUGGCAGGCUUGAGUCUCGUAGAGGGGGGGAGAAUUCCAGGUGUAGCGGUGAAAUGCGUAGAGAUCUGGAGGAAUACCGGUGGCGAAGGCGGCCCCCUGGACGAAGACUGACGCUCAGGUGCGAAAGCGUGGGGAGCAAACAGGAUUAGAUACCCUAGUAGUCCACGCCGUAAACGAUGUCGACUUGGAGGUUGUUCCCUUGAGGAGUGGCUUCCGGAGCUAACGCGUUAAGUCGACCGCCUGGGGAGUACGGCCGCAAGGUUAAAACUCUAAUGAAUUGACGGGGGCCCGCACAAGCGGUGGAGCAUGUGGUUUAAUUCGAUGCAACGCGAAGAACCUUACCUACUCUUGACAUCCACGGAAUUUGGCAGAGAUGCCUUAGUGCCUUCGGGACCCGUGAGACAGGUGCUGCAUGGCUGUCGUCAGCUCGUGUUGUGAAAUGUUGGGUUAAGUCCCGCAACGAGCGCAACCCUUAUCCUUUGUUGCCAGCGAUUCGGUCGGGAACUCAAAGGAGACUGCCGGUGAGAAACCGGAGGAAGGUGGGGAUGACGUCAAGUCAUCAUGGCCCUUACGAGUAGGGCUACACACGUGCUACAAUGGCGCAUACAAAGAGAAGCGACUUCGCGAGAGCAAGCGGACCUCAUAAAGUGCGUCGUAGUCCGGUUCCGAGUCUGCAACUCGACUCCGUGAAGUCGGAAUCGCGAGUAAUCGUGGAUCAGAAUGCCACGGUGAAUACGUUCCCGGGCCUUGUACACACCGCCCGUCACACCAUGGGAGCGGGUUGCAAAAGAAGUAGGUAGCUUAACCUUCGGGCGGGCGCUUACCACUUUGUGAUUCAUGACUGGGGUGAAGUCGUAACAAGGUAACCGUAGGGGAACCUGCGGUUGGAUCACCUCCUUACCUGAA